CACACACAUGAUAUCUUCAGAAAAAAAUAAAGUUUUGGCUUUAAGGCUGCAACAAACAGGCCAUAAGUUGUUUUUAAGAUGUAUUCUGCUACUCGCGACGGAAACAAAUCCAACAAAUCAAAAAACCAUGGCAAUCGGUCCAGCCGUUCUCGAGUUAUAAGUGCUUUACAAAGUACGACUUUGUUUUAUAUAUAUAGAUUUAAAUAAUAUUUUCUAUCUUUUAAAACAAUUUAUUUAGCUUUCUUCUGGUCGCGUUUUUUGUGACAGUUCUUUUCGUAAUGAGUAUCAGAACCGCAAUAAUUGCAGUGCCAAACAGACGCUUAACUGAGUCCAUUUUAAACAACUACUUAAUGCAAGCGCCUUAUCCAUACUAGGAUUUUAUAGUUCGAGUUUUUUCCAAGAUAACAAAAAGCUUGAAUACAUUAUUUAGUGCACAUCUAAGAGGAACUUUUUUGUGAAUUCUACAGUUGGUAAAAUAAUUUGAAAAUAAGGUCUGACUU
rnacentral:lncRNA from 1 species